rnacentral:ncRNA from 1 species
GGGAAAGUUGAAAAGCACUCUGAAUAGAGAGUCAAAUAGUACGUGAAACUGCCGAGGUGUAAAGCCUGUUGAACUCGAUUAUCCGUAGUUCCUGGCAUCGNGGGUUUUGGACUGUCACGCANAAGGGGGCCUUCUGUAUGCCUUGACCCUAGCCAGGAACGAGUAGCGGACAUCGUGAUCCAUUACGCAAACCAAAUGCGAGCGGCGACUCCGGUUGCUGCGAGCAUAUCCAACAUCAGGUCCCAGAACAUGCGGUCGACCCUCUAGUAGUGGCGCUCAGCUUAAGGCCGGCGUCGCGAACGGGGGAUCGAGGCUCCGGUCUCGAGUUCGGCUAGUUCCGGUGUGCCGUUGGAUGCGUGAUGGGCAUUGAAGUGAACUAGAGAAGUGUGAAGCGCAUGUUUGGGCAUGUUCAAGGGCGAAAGCCUGAGCCGAGCACGACUCCGGAUCUACGAUGUACUAACUAAUCGAGGUACCUACGGGACCCGUCUUGAAACACGGACCAAGAAGUCUAUCUUGCGCGCAAGUCAAUGGGAGUAGCAAACCCAAAGGCGAAGAUAACACAACUGCAAAGUCGUUGCGGGAUUACGGGUGCACCACAGUCCGCGAGGACUGGCUAGCUGUGCCGCCCCUCCAUCCCCGGGUGUUUAGCAACGGAUCUGUAGUGCCGCGGACCCCCCGACAGGGGUGGGCAUUUGCAGAGCCAACGCGACAUACCGCGAGCGCGCAGGAUGUGACCCGAAAGAUGGUGAACCAUGCCUGAUCAGGUUGAAGUCAGGGGAAACCCUGAUGGAGGACCGAAGCAAUUCUGACGUGCAAAUCGAUUGUCAGAGUUGGGCAUAGGGGCGAAAGACCAAUCGAACCAUCUAGUAGCUGGUUCCCUCCGAAGUUUCCCUCAGGAUAGCUGGAGCACGUAACAUUUCGAACCUUAUUCUUAUCUGGUAAAGCGAAUGAUUAGAGGCCUUAGGUUCGAAAUGAUCUUAACCUAUUCUCAAACUAUAAAUGGGUAAGAUAAUG